rnacentral:other from 1 species
AUCCGGGACACGUCUGCAUCAACGCUAUAUCUGAGGAAAGACCCCAAAAUGGCAACCGGUACCGUCAAGUGGUUCAAUGAUUCCAAGGGCUUCGGCUUCAUUACGCCGGACGAAGGCGGCGAAGACAUCUUCGCACACUUCUCCGCAAUCAACAUGCCGGGCUUCAAGACCCUGAAAGAAGGCCAGCGCGUGACUUUCGAAGUCGCCAACGGCCCGAAGGGCAAGCAAGCUGCAAACAUCCAGGCUGCCUGAUUCGCUGCCUGAAUGUGAAAAGCCCCGCGUAAGCGGGGCUUUUUUAU